UCACAAUAACAGCUCUCCGUUCUCCGAUAAUGAAACGACAUGCAGAUCCUCUAACCGUCUUGUCGUUCUGGUGCCUCCUUAUCCUCUUACUACCAAUCCUGACCGUCGGAUUUGCUGAUCGUCUACAAGCAUCCGACCCACCUCUCAGUCUGCUCAAAACGGCGCUGCAACAAGAACAAAAACCAGAGGGGAUAAAGAGCCUUCGGGUACGGGAGGGGGCACCGUUUAAGAUCGCGCUCUUUGCUGACUUGCAUUUUGGAGAGAACGCGUGGACUGAUUGGGGCCCACAACAGGACGUUAAUUCCAUCAAGGUCAUGUCCUCUGUUCUCGACGAUGAAUCACCAGGUGAUGAUAUAAUCCUCUUCCUCUCUAAAGUAGAUUUUUUUUUUUUACUUAUACUCUUUUCAAAUGUGGCUAGCAUAGCUUUUAAAUUCAGCCGUCCAUUGAUUAACUUGAUACUCCAUCAGUUUAGAUAGUGAUUGUUCAGUAAUUUAGUGUAAUGUGUUUUUUUAUUUAUAAAUGAAUUAAUUUCUUUUUAUAUUGGUAUGUUAAAAUAUAUUAAUUUGAUAUAUUUUUUUUAUAAAAAAAUAUUUUUAAAAUGCAAUCCAAAUAUAAUUAGAAAUAUAAUAUCUAACAAACACUAAAUCCAAACGAGAUUUAAUAGGGUAAAUUUUAAUUUAAAUUAUUUUAAAUUAUUAAUAUAUUAUUAUUUGAUAAUGAGUGUUUAGUAUUCGUAUAAUGUAUUUUUUAAAAUAAAUCAAAUUUUUUUUUUUUUUAAUAUCAACAUAUUAAAAUUAUUAAAAAAAUAUUAAUUUAAUAUCUUUUAAAAUAAAUAAAUUUUUAAAAUGCAAUUAAAUACAUGUAAAAUUGCAACAUCAAACAAGCAAUAAAUAGGGUAAAUUUUAAUUUAAAUCAUUUUGAGAUUACCAUGUCAGCGGAUUCUUAGCCGGGUUGGAUCCUAGGCCGGGUAUAAAGACAAUUGUAAGCAUGCAUUGUUGCUUAAUAAUAAUAAUAAUCUCAAAGAGUCAAAAUAAUCGAUUUAGCGUGGCGGCGGCGGCGGUCCAACAUUUGAUAUACACUCGGUGUGUUAUAAAUCCCACUUUUUUCCAUGUUAUGAUCUUGCCUAGAAUUAAAUAAAUUUUUUUUCUUGAAUAUAAUGGUUGGCAUAACUUGUAUAAGAGUCAAUCAGACUUACCACACAAAUAGGCUAAUUAAUUUAGUAAUUUUCUUGUCACAAUGUAAUUAAUACGUUCUAUUUUUUCUUAAAUUUGAAUUACAGUUAAUAUAAUACGAGUAUUUAGCAGAUUUUGUGAUAUAUCUUGGGGAUGUAAUAACGGCAAACAACAUACCAAUUGCAAACGCAAGCUUGUAUUGGGAUAAAGCAAUAUCUCCACGAGGGCAAGGGGCAUACCUGUGGGCUAGUGUCUUUGGUAAUCACGAUGAUGCACCAUUUGAGUGGCCAAUGGAGUGGUUUUCUUCUCCUGGAAUUCCUCCUGUUCAUUGCCCUGCACCUAACGCGUCAUCAUGCUCAGGUAAGACUGUAGAGCUUUAACCUCCGAGCUAUGGAAAUGGAAUAAUUAAUAAUUUCUUGAUAGCCCAUUAAUCCUGUUUUUUUACUUGGUAGUUCCUGUUUCCCAAGAUUAUUGCUCCUUUUCCUUUUCCUUUUGAGCUAGUGUAUGGCAAUGGGCUAGCAUGUUUGUUGCUGCUUCUUUUUAGCGAGAUUGAUGGUAGCUUUUCUUACUUAGGGUUACAAUUUCCGUUCCAGGGGAAAGGGACUGCAGCUUUAGAGGCACACAACGGAUAGAGCUAAUGAAAAAGGAGAUUGAGCAUAAUCACCUAACGUUGUCUAAAAAUGGUCCAAAAGAUCUGUGGCCAAGUAUAUCCAACUAUGUCCUCCAGCUCUCAUCAUCAGAUGAUCCAGAAUCACCAGUUCUGUUCAUGUAUUUCCUAGACUCCGGUGGCGGAUCCUAUCCUGAAGUUAUUUCAAAUGCUCAAGCAGAAUGGUUCCAGCAUGUAUCCGAGGAGAUCAACCCUGAUUCAAGGUACAGGGGCUAUGGCCUGCCUUGAUUAGUCGUGGUAGAUCCGAAAGAUCUCAUGUAUAACCUACAUGAUAAGUAAAAGUGAUAAACCAAAUGGGGUCCCUAUUGAUCGUAUACACGGGAUGUGAAACAAUGCUGGUCUAAAAUUAUAUGGAACAAACUGGGAAUUUCAUUGAACAUGUGUUUUUUUUCCCUUUUUUAACAGGGUUCCUGAGGUUGUCUUUUGGCAUAUACCAAGCAAAGCUUACAAGAAAGUGGCUCCCAGGUUAAGGAUCCACAAGCCUUGUGUUGGUUCCAUGAACAAAGAAAAAGUUGCUGCUCAAGAAGCUGAAUUGGGUUUCAUGGACAUGCUAGUUAAACGGUCUUCUGUCAAGGUGAGUUCCUGCUCAAGAAACAACGUUCAAUGCUUAAAAUUAACUCAACACUUUCAACCCAUUGUGGAAGUUUGAAAAUUCAGGUAAUGGAGUAACUCCGGAGCAUUGUGUUCUAUAGUCUUUCUUCAAAAGUUGAAGGAAGGUUAUUGAACAAAUAACUUACAGUUCCAACGAGUUUUGACAACCCAAUAAAGAAGUAGGUUUUGAUGGCAGGGGGGCCAGAUAGAGGACGUGCUACCUGUGGAUAAGUUUUGUGGAAGUUGAAGCUCAAAUAAAGUUGUUCAUCUGCUUUAAAGUUUGACAAAGCCAAACGGGGGUCCCUAUUGAUCGUACUUCUUUGGAUUGUGGCAGGCAGUGUUUGCAGGACACAACCAUGGAUUGGACUGGUGCUGCCCCUACAAGAAACUUUGGCUAUGUUAUGCUAGGCAUACUGGUUAUGGUGGCUAUGGAAAUUGGCCGAGAGGAGCUAGAAUUCUGGAGAUUAAUGACCAGCCCUUCUAUAUCAAGUCAUGGAUAAAGAUGGAAGAUGGAGAUGAACACAGCCAAAUUAUCCUGAGUCCUUGACAGGUCACCUCUGCAAUGCCACUGUCUGUCAAUGGAGGGGAAAAAACCUCCUGCUAUCAACCUGUGUGUGAUGGUGGUAAUGCUCUCUUCCCCACCUCUUUAUCAGUAAAAGAAAUUCAACCUAAAUCUAGAUGUGUCCGGGAGUGUGGUUUUAGUUGUUUAAAAUACAAAAAUAAACAAAUAAUAAAACUAGCCAAAAUGGAUGAACGCGUUUAGACAUGGAAAAGGCUUGUCAAGCAUACCAUCCCACACAUGCUAGUGCUCACGUUAGCGUCUCCCAUCGCCGUAUAAGAAUUUCUGGGAAAUGAAAAGGAAUCGCUAGUCAACUAUUUUUUUAUAAAAAUAUAUUAAAAUGGGAUUCAGUUCUAUCAUGCACAAAAGACUAACAUUUGUUUUAAUAUAUUAAUCAUGAAAAAUAAUUUUUUUAUUAUAAAUCUAAGUUGAAGUUGUUUUUCAAAAACCACGUCAAACAUGCUCUAACUUGAGUAUUUGAAUCAAUUUAUAUUCACCUCGAUUAAUUUUACGGGUCCUGAAAUUAAUAAUAUAUAAACUUUUAAUAGUCUAAAAAAAAUUUAAACUCGUAAUAAUUAAAGAGUAAAUAUAAUGACUAACCAAUUAAUCUAUACCGUUAGAUAUCUCUUCUUCUUAUUUUAUGAUAAAAUGGGAAAAUGGGAUUUAUUACCUAAUCAAAAUAACUUUUUGUUGUUGUAAGAUAUGCCUUUACUUUAUUUUAUCGGGAAAGUCCUGUGAAAGAAGAAAUUUCUACCAGUUGUCAUGAAUUACUUUGAGGGAUUGUUCUCAGGAUUCGAAAUAUGGGAUUAUUCCCUCUCCAAGAAUAUCCUAUUGUCUUAUUAAAAUUUAAAAUGUUUCCCUCGUAAGAAUAUUAAAAUUUAAAUUUUCCUGGUACCACUUCCUAUUUUGGUACUCGCUAACAAAUCAUUUCUAGUUCGAGCAUGUUUAGAAAUCUAAUUAUAAUUAUUUUUAAAGUAAUUUUUUAUGUUAAAAUUUAUUAAAAUAAUAUUUUUUUUUAUUUUUUAAAAUUUAUUUUUAAAAUUAGCACAUUAAAAUAAUAAAAAUGAUACAAAAAAAAUUAAAUUUUUUUAAAACACAAGUACUACCCCGUUUCCUACACCUUUUAAAAUUUAAUUCCCACCAUUUAAAUUGAUCUGAUAAAAAUUAAAAUAAUAUAUUUUUAAUAAAAAUAAUUGAUUUCAUGACAUACUGAUUAAUCUAAUGAAUAAUAAUUCAGAUUUUUUUUUCCCCAGUAAAUUCCAGACCUGAUGUAACACGAAAUCUCAAACAUCAAAUUUUAACAAUGGACUAAAUCUCUCUAAUUUUGCAUUAGUUUUCUCAUUCUUAAUGAUUUCAAAUUAUGCUAAGCGAGGGAUGUUUCAGACAUUUAACACCCAAUCCCCACCGAACUAAACACCAAAAAACAGAAGAAAUGCAUAGUUCCUUCGACACCACUACCAGCAACCACCCCCAUCAUCCUUCACAAUAACAGCUCUCCGUUCUCCGAUAAUGAAACGACAUGCAGAUCCUCUAACCGUCUUGUCGUUCUGGUGCCUCCUUAUCCUCUUACUACCAAUCCUGACCGUCGGAUUUGCUGAUCGUCUACAAGCAUCCGACCCACCUCUCAGUCUGCUCAAAACGGCGCUGCAACAAGAACAAAAACCAGAGGGGAUAAAGAGCCUUCGGGUACGGGAGGGGGCACCGUUUAAGAUCGCGCUCUUUGCUGACUUGCAUUUUGGAGAGAACGCGUG
rnacentral:lncRNA from 1 species